CUGCGCUGCUUCUUCGGCUCCUGUCACUAGGGUUGCUCAGUCAAAAUGGCGGCCUUUGCCUGUGACGUUGCGGCCGCCCCUGCCUAUGGGAGCCAAUGAGAGCGAGGUAGAUGAGGCAAUGACGUAACAAUCUGCCAAUAGUCGCUGGGUAGAGGUGGGGUCUUUGAAGGCGACAGGCAAGCUGGAACACCAAUGUGGAAAGAGAAUGAGCUCCAAGGACCAAUGGGAAGCCCGUGGGGGCGGCUCAGCCAGCUUCGGCAUUUUUGCUGCUUUGGGGUACUUCUGGAAAAGUCUGAGAAGCACUGUAAUACGCAAUGAUACCAGGCAAAAUCUGAGAGAGAGAGGAGAGAGAAAGACAGAAUCUGAAGCACUGCUUUGUACUGCCAGUGAAGAUCAUGAUGCUGGACUUGAACUGUGAGCUGAAGUCAGACGCUUAAUCGACUGAGCCGCCCAGGUUCCGCAGGGAUUAUCCAAUUUAAAGAGAAGAUAAUGAAAGAAUUAAAAUCUCAGAGGAGAUCAUUGAAGAG